AUCUUCCUUUUGGGUUCUCUGUGUCCAGAACUCCAGUGCAGGUGUUGAGGGUGGGGAGGGAGCUGCCCCUUCAGGUGGAGGCAGGGUUGGUGCCAACGGAGGGGCAGGGAGACGCAGGGGCUCCCCCCAACCCCGUCCAGUCACGGUGCAGCCCCCGACUUUAUCCCCAGCGCCCUCCUCUUCCUCGCAUAACUCAUGCCCCCAGCUGGGUCCUCCUGGGUCUCCCUAGGGGUGACUCGGGCCAGGGGCUACCUGUUUCCCCGGGCUCACCACAGUGGGCUAAGCCUACAGCAGAGGAGAUAGGGAGCCCGCCAGCCAGGUGGGCAGCCGGCCACCCCCUCGGAGUAGCUGCACGGGUUGGGGUCAAGUUCUCGCAUUCUCUGGAAGAAGCUGGCUGUUCUGUUCCCACGGCGGCCUCCCUGUUUCUGGGAGCAGACGGAAGGCCCCAGCGCGCACUCCUCCCUUCCGCCCAGCAGCCUCAAAACCUACGAAGAUACCUAUGUAGAAAACGUCAGAUGGAAGGUGUCCAGGCCACUAUAACAUUGCAAAGGGCAUAAAAGAAGACUUGACUGAUGGAGACGUAUGCCACGUUCAUGAAUGAAAAGUGUAAGUCUGAGUUUUUCGUGGGAUUUGGCCGGCUGGUCCAAAGGUCCACGUGGAAGGCCAGAGAGCCAAGCAGAGCUAAGUGAGUUUCAGAGAAGAAUCAUGUGGGACGCCUGCCUCUAAGACAGCGUGGCAUUGGUGCCGGGAUAGGCAAGUGGAUGCCUGGAACAGCCCAUGUGCUUACGAUGAUGCUUUGAGGUGGGUGGGUGCUCCACAUCUACAAGGAAGGAGGGUUGUUCUCUGAGGGUGCUGGGCCGGGCUGUUCCCUGAGUGUGCUGGGCUGGGCUGUCCCCUGAGUGUGCUGGGCUGGGCUGUCCCCUGAGUGUGCUGGGCUGUCCCCUGAGUGUGCUGGGCCGGGGCUUCUCUACAUGGGGAAAAUUAGGUGCCUGUGUCACGCUCUAAACAAAAAUAAAACACCAGGUAGAUUAAACAACUCAGAUGUGAAAAGCUAAACCUGAAAACAUUUAGAAGGAAAACAGGCAUAAUAUUGAUGACCUCAGGGUAGGAAAGGGUUUCUUAAGUCACUAAAGUCACAAGCUAUCAAAGUAAAGAGAGACGCAUUUGACCACAUUACAUUUUAAAAACUGUGUUUGAAAAAAGACAACAUAACUAAGUAAAAAUACAAGCCAGGGAGUGGAAGGAGGUCAUCUCUGUGCAUCCGGCGCUGAGGCCGGAGUCCAGGAGAUCUAGCGAACGUCAUGGUCAGACAAGCAGCCCAGGGUUGAGGCGGGGGUCACACAGGAGGAGACGCGGACAGGCGGGGGUCACACAGGAGGAAACACGGACAACACAGGGAGUAGCCAGCAGGGAGGCUCGGCCACUGGGACCCCAGGAAGGGCGUGAUAAUCCUUGAGACCAGCUGAAGGUUCUCACACCUCCAGAGAGAACAUGCUGGGGCGUUUAGGGGAGAGCGGUUGGUCAGGGCAGCCAAGCUGAGGACACAGUCCUGCUUCUGGGCACCCAGGGAGCUGCCCACCCGGGAGGAUGGAGACUGGAAAUGGCCUGCAUGCUGGUCCACCAGGAACGGGCUGCUCCUCUGGGCAUAUUCAUCCUCUGGAUGGGGCCCAGCACUAAACCGGAACUGCCUGUCUUGACAAGGAGGCAUCGCAAACCCAGCAUCGAGCAGAAGGAAUGAAUCGCGGGUCUCUAAUCCUGCACCCUGAUGCUGUCCGUUUCUGUGAAUGUGAAACAGGACCCUAAUGCUGGACACUUACAAAAGUAGUAAAAUUAUAAAAUAUUUUGAGAGGCACUGGAUUCAGGGUCACGGUUGCCUCUGGAGAGGGUUGGAGAGCAGGGAGGGGCACCCACUUCUGCCCGUGAUGUUUAUUCCUUGAUGGAAAACACCUGAGCUAGAGUGGCAGGUCUGAUAUUAGUUACAGCUGACGGUGAGGAGGUAGUGGUCAUGUCCAUUCCAUUACUCUGUUCUUCAUAGGGUUUGAAAUCAUCCAUAACAAAAAA
rnacentral:lncRNA from 10 species